rnacentral:rRNA from 1 species
UACGUAGGGACCAAGCGUUGUUCGGAUUUACUGGGCGUAAAGGGCGCGUAGGCGGCCAGCACAAGUCAGUUGUGAAAUCUCCGGGCUUAACUCGGAAAGGUCAACUGAUACUGUGCGGCUAGAGUGCAGAAGGGGCAACUGGAAUUCUCGGUGUAGCGGUGAAAUGCGUAGAUAUCGAGAGGAACACCUGCGGCGAAGGCGGGUUGCUGGGCUGACACUGACGCUGAUGCGCGAAAGCCAGGGGAGCAAACGGG